rnacentral:misc_RNA from 1 species
GAUGAAGAACGCAGCGAAAUGCGAUACGUAAUGUGAAUUGCAGAAUUCAGUGAAUCAUCGAGUCUUUGAACGCACAUUGCGCCCCCUGGUAUUCCGGGGGGCAUGCCUGUCCGAGCGUCAUUGCUGCCCUCAAGCACGGCUUGUGUGUUGGGCCUCCGCCCCCCGGCUCCCGGGGGGCGGGCCCGAAAGGCAGCGGCGGCACCGCGUCCGGUCCUCGAGCGUAUGGGGCUUCGUCACCCGCUCCGUAGGCCCGGCCGGCGCCCGCCGGCGACCCCCCUCAAUCUUUCCAGGUUGACCUCGGAUCAGGUAGGGAUACCCGCUGAACUUAAGCAUAUUAAUAAGCGGAGGA